rnacentral:rRNA from 1 species
ACGGGAGGCAGCAGUGGGGAAUAUUGGGCAAUGGGCGCAAGCCUGACCCAGCAACGCCGCGUGAAGGAAGAAGGCUUUCGGGUUGUAAACUUCUUUUGUCAGGGACGAGUAGAAGACGGUACCUGAUGAAUAAGCCACGGCUAACUACGUGCCAGCAGCCGCGGUAAUACGUAGGGGGCAAGCGUUAUCCGGAUUUACUGGGUGUAAAGGGAGCGUAGACGGUAAAGCAAGUCUGAAGUGAAAUCAUAGGGCUUAACCCUGUAAUUGCUUUGGAAACUGUUUAACUAGAGUACCGGAUGGGCAGGCGGAAUUCCUGGUGUAGCGGUGAAAUGCGUAGAUAUCAGGAAGAACACCGGUGGCGAAGGCGGCCUGCUGGACGGUAACUGACGUUGAAGCUCGAAAGCGUGGGGAGCAAACAGGAUUAGAUACCCUGGUA